UAAGAAGGGGGAACCUAUCACCAUGGUCUCUGCUUAUGAUUACCCAUCAGCUCUUCAUCUUGACCGAGCGGGAAUUGAUAUUUGUCUGGUUGGUGAUUCUGCAGGUAUUCACAUACAUACCGAAAAAUAAGGUUCAAGCCGAUUUGCUCGGUGUGUCCGAGUUACUCGCCCGAGUCAAGCUCGUAAAUUUUUUAAAAAGAAAAUCACGAAACAAUAUUGUGUAUAUAUAAUAGCGGCAACUUUAAUUUAUUAGGUGUAUAUAUAAAAUGGAGGCUGCUAGUGUUAUGGCUUGCUGGUUAGUACUCCUUCUUCUUAAAUUCGAUGGGUUGUGAGUUCGGGAUAUUUUCUUUAACUCUUUUUUGCUUUUAAUAAUGGUUUGAAUUUAUUUUGAAGUUUUUUUUUUUCAUAACUCUCUUAAAAAAUAUAUUUUUUAACUCUAUAUUUUUUUUUAAUGGCUUGGAUUUAUUUUUUAGCUUUAUUUUUCUUAAUGGCUUGGAUUUAUUUUUUUAACUCUAUUUUUUUUAAUUGCUUGGAUUUAUUUUGUUAACUCUAUUUUUCUUCAUGGCUUGGAGUUAUUUUGGAGGUCUUUUUUUCCAUAAACUCUCUUUAAGAAAAAGUUCUCAUGUCUCGUGGGUCUAUAAGAGGUAUUGAGCUCGAUUAGGGGAGGCUCCAUAUUUUUUUUGAACUCCUUUUAUCUGAUCUCUUUUAAAAAAAAAAAUUCAAACAUCUCAUGAAUUCUAAAAAACAACCCCUCAAUUUUUCGUAAUUGAUCCCAUUUUUAUAACUUUUUAAAAAAAUCUUACAUUUUGUGAGGUCUAAAAAUCCGAGAUGUGAUAGAAAAUGCACCCCCACUUUAGCGGAAUGUUCAUUCAUACUCUAUGGUAGUCAAUCGAUAUUGGAAAAAAAAAUAUAAACAUUAUUGUUGAGCAAUUAGAGAAAAUAAUAGAUUUUAUAAUUUUUAAUAAUUCAUCUAUAUUACCUCUUAAAUUAGUUGAUAUUUGAGAAAAAAACUUCUUUGGUAGAGGGCUUUCAAAAGCUUCAAAACAAAGUAAUCAUCAGAAAAAAUUGUUGAGUAAUUAAAGAGAAAUAAUAGAUUUGGUUAUUUUUUGACAGAUUAUUGAUAUUACCUCUUUGAUACACAAAAUCAAUCGAUCUUGGACAAAAAAGCUAUGGAUCUGUAGAGUGCUUUUGAAGAUUGAUUUCAAAAACUUCAAAACAAAUUAAACCUCAUCCCAUUUGGUGUAGAAACGAGUUAGAACAGAUAGGUUUGGCAGGGAAAAAAAAAUCGCAUAAGGAACUCUUUGUUGUACGAAAUCGAUCGGGAAUGGAGAAAUUAAACCAGGGAUAUUUGGAGGGCUGUUGAAGCUAAUAUCAAAAUCUUCAAAAGAAGCCAAACCUGAUCUGAUUUGAUGUAGAAAUGAGAUAGAACAGGAAGGUUUGGCGCAAAAAAAAUAAAAUUGCAUAAAGAGUUGUUGCACGAAAUCGGUCCACAAAUAAAAU
rnacentral:lncRNA from 1 species